AGCCUUGAGCUCUUAUUCAAGGUAAAGCCUGCCCAGUGCAGUAUUUGUUAACGGCCGCAGUACCCUGACUGUGCUAAGGUAGCAUAAUCAGUUGGCUUUUAAAUGGAGUCGGGAAUGAAUGGAUUUAUAGGGUUAAGCUGUCUCUUUUAUACUUAAUUAAAUUUACUUAUUAGGUGAAAAUUCCUAAUAAAAGAAAAAAGACGAGAAGACCCUAGGAGUUUUAACUAAAAUGAUUAAAGGUUACGUUUUUGUUGGGGCGACAUGAGAGUAUACAAUUAAACCUCUUAUUUAAAAUAAGCCGACUUAGUAUGAAAAUUUAAACUACCCUAGGGAUAACAGCGUAAUUCUUUAUUGAGUUUGCGACCUCGAUGUUGGACUAGGAAUUUAGUGGGCUAGCCGCCUACUACAAUUGUUCUGUUCGAACUAUUUUUCCU
rnacentral:rRNA from 1 species